rnacentral:tRNA from 1 species
AAGACGUAGCUUUAACAAAAGCAUUCAGCUUACACCUGAAAGAUAUCUGAUAAUAACAGAUCGUCUUGA